rnacentral:pre_miRNA from 1 species
UCUUAUGAAUGAACAAAAAUGGUUUCUUGAGAUGGAAUCUACUCUUGGUGAAGAUGCUGUGAA